rnacentral:rRNA from 1 species
AACGAACGCUGGCGGCAGGCUUAACACAUGCAAGUCGAGCGCCCCGCAAGGGGAGCGGCAGACGGGUGAGUAACGCGUGGGAAUCUACCCAUCUCUACGGAAUAACGCAUGGAAACGUGUGCUAAUACUGUAUACGUCCUUCGGGAGAAAGAUUUAUCGGAGAUGGAUGAGCCCGCGUUGGAUUAGCUAGUUGGUGGGGUAAAGGCCUACCAAGGCGACGAUCCAUAGCUGGUCUGAGAGGAUGAUCAGCCACACUGGGACUGAGACACGGCCCAGACUCCUGCGGGAGGCAGCAGUGGGGAAUAUUGGACAAUGGGCGCAAGCCUGAUCCGGCCAUGCCGCGUGAGUGAUGAAGGCCCUAGGGUUGUAAAGCUCUUUCACCGGUGAAGAUAAUGACGGUAACCGGAGAAGAAGCCCCGGCUAACUUCGUGCCAGCCGCCGCGGUAACAC